rnacentral:lncRNA from 1 species
GAAGAUUAUGAGGUUACUUUAGAUUAUGUUUUAUAAUAGCUGAGCUCGGUAAUUUAGAUAUAGGUUUAGAGCUUAUUUUUUAAUAUUUUCACAAUGACAGUGGUGGGUAACUUUUUAGAAAAUAUAAUAGAUCAAUGGUUAUAAUUAUUAGAGUUUAUAGGAUUGGUGUUUGAUGUUUUUAAUUUUUAUGAGAAUUUCUCUCUUUUUUUUAGGUUGUCUUGUGGGAACUAAUGCGGAGUCUCCAAUGGAAAAAGAAAUGAGACUACAUUGCUACAAAACUAUUACCAUAGGCUACUUCUCAUUUGUUAAAUAUUUGAACACAAUACUUAUGUAGAUAUAUACUUAAUAUCUUCGUCCAAAUAGAUUUUAGUUAGUAAUUACUCUAUAAUAUUUCCAUCCACAUUUAUAAUCUUUAACUUUUCACUUUGGAUCGCAGGUAUGCACUUGAAUUUGUUUAAUGAACCCUAAGUUUGAGAUAAAAUUUUAGCAUAGAAAUCUAUAUUCCCAUUACUUUAUAUCCUUAUAAAUGGUGACACAUAUCAUGCAUAUAGACCUUAAUUAUUAUAGUGUAUACUAAUAGUGCAAGAUAUAGACGAUUUUGAAUCAUAUAUUGUUGUAUAUUUUUAAUUAAGGUUAUUUGAUUCAAACGUAGGGUUACCUCAUGUUAUUUUUAAUAAUAGCAUGUGUGGGUAAUAUAGAUGCAAAUUUAAGGGGUUACUUUAAGUUUUUUAAGUAAUAGUGGUAGGCAAUUCAGUUGCAAAUUAGGGGGUUAUUUUAAAUAUUGUUUAUAAUGGCAUAAGUAGGUAAUUUUGAUGAAGAUUAGGGGGUUACUUUAGUUUAUUUUAUAUAAUGGCAGAUGUGGGUAAUUUAUAUAUAGAUUUUGGGGUUACUUUAGGCUAUUUUCAUAAUGGUAUAGGUGGGUAAUUUUUUAGAAAAUAUAAUAGAUCCAAUGGCUAUGAUGAUUUGAAUCUAUCGAUCGAUGGUCGGAUGUUUUGCUUUUUUGUGAGAAUUUAUAGAAUUCCUCUCUUUUUCUAGAGUGUCCAUCUUGGAAUCCUAGGUGGCUUCACCUGAAGGUUUCAAAAGGAGCCUCCAAUUAGUAAUAGUAAGAUUGUCAUCUACUGAAUAAUUCAGACUUCAAUUUCCUGAAUUACUCAGUUAUCAGAAUGGUGCUCUUGGGGCUCUAGGUUCUUCUCAAUUCUUAUUUUUGCAGUCUCAAUUCUAGUACUUUAACGUUCUUGGUACUGGUAGCUCAUCAAAUAUAUGUGUUUGGGGAAGAUUGCCC